GACGAACGCUGGCGGCGUGCUUAACACAUGCAAGUCGAACGGUAAGGCCCUUCGAGGUACACGAGUGGCGAACGGGUGAGUAACACGUGGGUGAUCUGCCCUGCACUUCGGGAUAAGCCUGGGAAACUGGGUCUAAUACCGGAUAGGACCACUGCCUGCAUGGGUGGCGGUGGAAAGCUUUUGCGGUGUGGGAUGGGCCCGCGGCCUAUCAGCUUGUUGGUGAGGUGAUGGCGUAACAAGGCGAAGACGGGUAGCCGGACUGAGAGGGUGACCGGCGACGCUUGAACUGAGGUACGGUCCGUACUCAUACGGGAGGCAGCGGUGAGGAAUUUUGCGCGAUGGGCGAAAGCCUUACGCAGCGACGCCGCGUGGGGGAUGAAGGCCUUCGGGUUGUAAACCCCUUUCGUGAGGAAAAAAGUCCCGAGCAAUCGGGAUGAUGGUACCUCAGGAAGAAGCCACGGCUAACUCUGUGCCAGCCGCCGCAGUAACAC
rnacentral:rRNA from 1 species